GGAAAUAAAACUGUGUGUGUGUGUGUAUGUGUGUGUGUGUGUGUGUAUAUAUAUAUAUAUACACACACACACACAUACACACACGUAUUUUAAGUG